UACGUAGGGUCCGAGCGUUGUCCGGAAUUAUUGGGCGUAAAGGGCUCGUAGGCGGUUUGUCGCGUCGGGAGUGAAAACACCGGGCUUAACUCGGUGCUUGCUUUCGAUACGGGCAGACUUGAGGUAUGCAGGGGAGAACGGAAUUCCUGGUGUAGCGGUGAAAUGCGCAGAUAUCAGGAGGAACACCGGUGGCGAAGGCGGUUCUCUGGGCAUUACCUGACGCUGAGGAGCGAAAGUGUGGGGAGCGAAC
rnacentral:rRNA from 1 species